GGAUUGUAGCUCAGUGGUAGAGCACUUGCCUAGCAUGUGUGAAGUGCUGGGAUAGAUCCUCAGCACCA
rnacentral:tRNA from 1 species